AGACGAUGACAGAUCAGAGGAUUCAGAAAAGAUAAAAGAUUGGGCAGUAGCUAUAUUUGGAAAGUGAAUUCAUUAUUAUAUUUAAUAAAAACUUAUCCUACUUACAUUAUUAUAAUUCCAUAUUCUACUUAUAAUUAAGAGGAAAGUUCAUGCAGCAGAAGGUAAACGCUAUCUGGCGAUUUCUUACAUGAGGUUUCUACCAUUGUUUGUACAAGUUGUUAGCAUUCGUUGGUCAAUGUACGUGCAAAGGCAUUUAGGAACGGAAGAAAGCGGAAAGAGGAAUACUAAAUGUAAG